AAGGGUAUAACUCAGUAGUAGAGUGUGUGCUUAGCAUGCUUGAGGUCCUGGGUUCAAUCCCCAGUGCCUCUG
rnacentral:tRNA from 1 species